GGCUGUUUACAAACUUGACGUACACACGCAGUCCUAUCCCUACGGUCCUGGAAUUGGGGGUUACUAUCUUGGAAUCUAGGGGCACUCCAGGCUCUGGGCUCAGACGGCUGGCUUCUGCCUACCCGAGCCUUAACCUUUCAAGGACCAGAAGGAUUCCAGAGCUCUUGCCCUAGGUCCUGGGGCAGCGAUGACUCACUGCAGCACCCCCUCCCACUUCGCCAAGCUGCCGUCUCCGCCCACCCCCAAACAAUCUCGACAGCGCAUUUCGGGAGCCACGGCUCCGGGCGCUUUGCUGGGGGCUAAAGGGGUUUAUCCCUUUCCUUGAAUCCCAGCAGGCUAGAACUACCCCCUCCCAGUCUUCAGGCUUGCCACGCUCUCCACCCGAUCCUUCCAUUGAAAGGCAGAGAAGGAAGGAUGUGCUUGGGAACUUUAAGACCCACGAACGACAGCGCACUGAUGGAGCAGCCCAGUGUCUGGGGCAAAGUCCUCGAGGUUCAUUCAUUCAGGAAGCCUCUGACCAGCCUUUACCAUGCGCUGAGUGAGAAGCUGAGGAUAAGGAAAGAGCAAGACCCCCAAGAAACCCUGAUGUCUGGCUGAAAGCCGAAGCAUGACGCAACUUUGCUAUAUUUCUCUCCAACAAGGAUUUGUAUAUUUUCGCUUUCUCCUCAAGUAACACCUGGACCUGCUCCUUUCCCUUCAAACGCUGAGGGCUCAGUCUCCAAGUUCCUUUAUGAAACAGGGUGUACCAUCAGAGACGCAGGUAUUUAUUGAAACCUGCUUUGUGCUGGGCAAUGUGCCAGAUGUUGGGGAUAAAAUGGAGACUUCAGAAAUGAAGAUGCAAAGACAACAGGGGAAACCAUAUAUGUUUAUGGACAGUCAUGCCAAAGUAUGAUUGGAAGACAAAAAGAUUUUUGGCCAAUUCACUGCUCACUAACAUCUCCAUCAAAGGGAAAAACACACAUUGUAAAAUAAGAAUUCUUCAAAGACAACUUGAAGACAUCUGGGAAUUCUGAAGCCUGAAAAUUCCAUGAGUUCAUAGCAGUGUUCACUAAUUCCACUGAUCUAAAGACAAAAAGGAGAGUCAACUGCGUGCCCAAACUCAUUUCUGAUGAUUUCUUCCAUCCUAACUUUUCUGCCUCUCUGGGGGUGGUUAUGCCUGUGAAAAACAUUGAAGCUGUCAGGAACAGAGUCGGCUUUCAAGAUUGGAAUGUCAAAGUAGAGUCUUCUUUUCCUCAGACCAGAAGGGGCUUGGUUGGGUAAGAGUUUCCAGAUCUAAAUGGAGACAGGACUGGGAUAUAGGAGCUUGUACGGAUAAACAACACAAACACCUUGGUUGAAGAAACCGAAGCACAAAGAAUAACUUGUCCAAGAUCACAGAGUUUAGGAAGUAAGGAAGCAGGGCUUUGAGCUUUGCAUCAAGUGAUGACCCAUAAAUGCAAAUGGAAUACAACAGGAGUGGGUCCCUAAAGUCCCACCCAGAGAAUGCCCUUCUGCCAAAAAAUUUCGGAUUGAAACAGCAAAAACACCUAAGCAACUGAUAGUCAGGUGGUUCUCUGAUUUAAUUGUUUGAAAGCAGUCACUGGAAGCAAAGCUAUGUGACUCAGCUUUGGUGAUGUACUCCAGCUGGAGUCUGACAGAGGUUUUGAAUGAACACCAUUCAUUCAUCAGUAAAUGUCUAUGCAGUACUAUGUGUGAUAUGCUGGGGACACAAUGCUGACAGAGACCUGAUUCCUGCUCGCAGUUUGUUGGGAAGAUGGACAAGUGAAAGCCAUGACAGUGAGAAAGAGCCGUGACAAGGCAAGUGCAGAGUGUUAAGGGAGUCUAUGGAAGAGGCAUUGCCUGUGACUUGGAGAGUUAGGAAUGACUUUCUGGAGGAAGUACCUCAGUCCCAGGACUUGAAGGAUAAGUGAGAGAGAGCCAAGAAAGACAACACAGGGAGAAAGCUUUGGGCAAAGGGAACGAUGUGUGCAAGUCUUUGGGAUGAGUGAACAAGCUGAAUUCCAUAAAGGAAACAUUUUUGGUAUGGCUGAAGUGUGACCUUCCCAACACAUUUAGUCCUGCGCUGCCUCACGUUGGUCAAGUGGUUGAUUUCAAUUACGCUUUUCGCGAGUAUCUUCCAGAUCACUGCCUCCCUCACAGAUCCUCCAGGAUUUGUAGAAUCCCAGCUGAGAAUAGUCAAGGGCUUUGGUCCAAACAAAUCAAGCUAAUUUCCCAACUCCACCGUUGAGUGUCUACACCGCCUUGGGCAGUGCGCUUAUUUUUGAGUCUCAAUUUCCACAUCUAUGAAUGAAAGAAUAAUAUCUAGCUUGUCGAGUAGUUGGGACCAUUAAAUAUAUUGAUGACUCUCUACCGAGGUACCUAAUGGAUUCCUUGACACACAGUAGGCACUCAAUAAAUCACAACCAUCCCAUUAGCCACCAGUGAGAGCUGAAUUCUGUAAACUUCCAACUGGCAAAUGCUGAUAUGGUUAAUGGCUGCAGUAAAAACCCAGGUGUAUCAAAUUUAGUUUUCGGUUUUUGAAGACAAAAAUCUUCAAUAAUUAUACACUGACAAUUCUCGCUACUUUUGAUUACUAUGACCCAGAUACCGUGGAAAGCAUUUAUAUUAAACUUUUAUUUAACCCUUACAACCAUGCUAUGAGAUCAUUUGUAUUUCUACAAAAGAAAAAGCCUCUUGAUCUUAACUACAUUUUCACAUUUGGAGUUAAACAGUUUCAUUUCCUGCACAAGUUCCCAGGGACUUUAAUCUGAAAAUAUGCAUUAUCAAAUCUAAGAUAGAGGAAAACAGUCUAAAGGGUUUUCCAGAUGUAUUUGACAAUUAAAUCUCAUUUUGAUUGGAUGUAAAUUAAAAUUUCAUUGAGAUGUACUUUGUAAAAUGCUAAAAUAUUAUCAGCACUAUUUUAUACCUGAGAAAACUGGGCCUCAGAGAAGUUAAGCAACUUUCCUAUUGUCAAACAGCUAAUAAGCGGGAGGGAUUAUGAUUUGAAACCAGGUCUUUCUCGCUCCAAAAACAUACACUUGGCCACUGGACAAUUAUUUUAACAGAACUCCAAUUCUUAGAAGAUAUGUAACGUACAAAGCUAUAGGUUGUUACACUACAACCCUAACAAUUCUGGAUAGAACAGUCCGAACAAAAACCAAAAAAACACCUCCGCAUACCAAGUCAGGAGUCUCAGUCUUAAAAGACAGCACCCACUCCCAAUACAGGAAAACAGCCAAAAAAAAAAAAAAAAAAAGCCACUGUGUUUCCAUACGACCAACGUUUUCCUGAUGUCAGGUAACUGAGACCUUCACACUACACUCAGCCCUACACCUACCUUACUGCUUCUCACCGUAGACUAGUCUGCUGGCCCCGCAUCUCAAAACCCCGGCUCCACCUAUAGUGGCCCAUACCUUUCCCUAUUUUAGUGGUGCUUAGUGACAGCUCGCAUCUGGUUUUUCCCUCAGCAAAGGCAACUGCAGCUCACUGCUGAGAAUAUUACUAAAGCAAAUAAUUCAUUUAGCCCAAACCUAAUAAUCCCUCCUCAAAACUCAGAGAAUAUGAAAAAGAAUUGCCCCUUCUAGUUCCCUCGGCAUUAUGGGAACAAGCAAGACUUUCAUUUACUUCAGCAGUCCAUAUGUUUGAAGGUCAAACAACACCUGGGUAUUUCUUUGAAAUGAACUAAUUGAGCCUGGAUGAUUUAGAGUUAGUCUUGCUGAAAGACUCACUGGAUCUCCAAUGGUAACCCAAAACCUGCUUUUGAAAACUCUGGAUUCCUCCAACCCCAGCUUUAUCAAAUGGCAAAGAAUAUUUGAUGCUGUUCAAAGAUUAAGGCCUGGAUCAAACUGAGUAAAAAGAAAGAGAAAGGAUUGCUUUCAAACUACUAUGAAAAAGAGCCUUGGCCCCAGGUGUUCAGAGUGGUAAAGAAAUCAGAGCCAGCCAAAGGGAAAUCAGGCAGAGGGCCUAGAAAGGAAUAGUUUUCAAAUGCUAAGUGUGCAUAGAGAGCAACUGGGAGGCAUCUUGACAAUGCAGGCUUCCCACCUGGUUUUUCCCUUGUAUUCCUCCCCACUUCCUUUUUUUUUUUUUUUUUUUUUUGAGACAGGGUCUCGUUUGGUCACCCAGGCUGGAGUGCGGUGGCACAACCAUAGCUCACUGCAGUUUCAACCUCUUGGGCUCAAACAAUCCUCCCACCUCAGCCUCCCAAAUAGCUGGGACUACAGGUGUGUGCCACCAUGCCCAGCUAAUUUUUGUAAUUUUUUUUUGUGGAGACGAGGUUUCUCCUUUCCCAAGCCUAAACUCCUGAGCUCAAGUAAUCCACUUGCUUUGGCUUCUUAAAGUGCUGGGAUUACAGGCGUCAUAUGGUUUGGCUGUGUCCCCACCCAAAUCUCAUCUUGAAUUGUAGCUCCCAUAAUUCCCAUGUGUUGUAGGAGGGACCUGGUGGGAGAUACUUGAUUCAUGGGGGCAGUUUCCCCCAUAGUGUUCAUGUGGUAGUGAAUAAGUGUGGUAGUGAAUUCAUGUGGUAGUGAAUAAGUCUCAUGAGAUCCAACGAUUUUAUAAGGGGAAUCCCCUUUUGCCUCACUUCUCUCUUGCCUGCCACCAUGUAAGAUAUGCCUUUCACCUUCUCCCAUGAUUGUGAGGCUUCCCCAGCCACGUGUAACUGUGAGUCCAUUAAACCUCUUUUUCUUUAUAAAUUACCCAGUCUCGGAUAUGUCUUUAUCAGCAGCAUGAAAAUGGUCUAAUAAAAGGUGUGAGCCACUGCUCUCAGCACUGUUCCCCUUUUAGCUAGUUUUCAUGGAAACCUCGUUCAUAGGAACACACCAAAUUAACACAUACAGAGACCAGUUUGAUUCAGAUUGGGAGAAACGCAUCGACUUCACCUAAUUGUUUGCAUCACAUGCUGCCAUGAACACCAAUUGGUUAGUUUGGUUUAUGUCAGGUGACUUCUAUCUGAAAGCCAAAGGUGGUCUCAAGGUGGAAAAUCCCCUCUUUGCCUAUUGGUCCUCCAGUUUCACAAACACAUAGGACCUUGUAUUUGUCUGUAUCGUUUUCACUGGCACUGUGGUGAAGUAUUUCCCCAUUGGACUAUUAAUAUCUUAUUCUGCACUUGACUGUGAACUUCAUGUGGAUCCCUGCCCAUCUUGGUCAUAACUGCAUUAAUAACUGAAUAAAUCAUAACUGAAUUAUUAAUAGUCAUAACUGAAUUAAUAAACGAAUGGCAUUAGAAACCAGUGACUGGGCUAACAAGAGCUCUCUGGGGCAAAUACAUUGGGUGAUACAUAAUUUUUUUAAAAAAUGGAGAAAAUGUACAACCAUUUAUUUUCAUCUUAUAAUUUUAAAAUGUACAUAUUUACCAAGAAUUAUACUGUUUGGUUUCAACCACACUCAACCAUUAUGAUUGAGGGAGAGUAUGGAAACUGAAAUAAUAACAAUAGAGUAUAAUAAUAAUAAUGCUCAGAGCUAAGAUUUAUGAAGGACUUGUGUGUCUGGCCCUGUGCUAGGUUUUGCUUAUGUAUUACCUCAUAUAAUUGCCUCAACCAGUCUAUGAGGUAGGUAUCUCCACUUUACAAAAUGAGGGGACUGGGAGCUGCCCAUGAGGAUUCCAAUAUGCCUGUGCUCUCAAACAGUAUGCAGAGACUAUACAGGAAGGUUCAUUCAUUCAUUCAUUCAACAAAUAUCUGAGUAUGUACUAUUACUAUCCUAGAACAAAAUAGUGCAGAUAAUAAACAAAAACACAUACCAUCUCAAUUCUUUUGGUGUUUAUAGUAUAGUAGGGGAGAUAGAUGUUAAUCAAUAACCACACAAAAAUGACAAAUACACAGCUGUUUUAAGUGUUAUAAAGGAGCAAUAUAUAUCAUUAGGAGAAAUUGGUCCUAGGCAGCUUUAUUGAGCUGAGACCUGAGGGAGGAGUAGAUGUUAACCAGAGAAGGAGAAGAAGGAGAAGUGUUCAAGGAAAAAGGAAGAGCUGUGCAAAGGCCCUGUGGUAGGAGGAAAUGUAUGCUUGAUGAGGGAAUAAAAGCAAGCUAUGAGAGUCUGGAACGUGAGAGCAAGAGACUGUAUAUAGCCAGAAAGGUAGGUGGGCCCUAGAGCAGUGGUUUUCAGACUUGAGUAUAUACAUCAGAAUCACUUGGAAGGCUUGUGAAAACACAAUCUGUUGGACCCCUUCCCCAGAGUUUCUGACUCAGCAGAUCUAAAGUGAGACGUAAGAUGUUGAAUUUCAAAACACACUACUGGGUGAUGCUGAUGGAUUCCAAGACUACACUUUGAGAACCACUGCCCUAGACUAGGUAGCACCUGGUGAGCUAUGGGGCCGAUUUCUGACUGUGUCCUAAGAAGAAUGAAAAAUAAUGGGAGGAUUCUAAGCUCGGGAGUGACAUGAUGCAAUUUACAUUUUGAAAAAUGCAGGGUAGAGACAAGAUGGUAGAGAGGCCAGGGUGGAUGCAGGUAGAUCAGCCCAAGGGUAAGCUGCAGUGCUCAGAAAAGACACCACUGUGGCAUGGCCUAAGGUGAUGGCCAAGGAGGUAGACAGAGGUAGGUGGAUUCAAGAGAGAUUUAGUCGGUGAAAUCAGUAGAACUUGGUGAUGAAUAAGGGGGUUAAGGGAGAGAUUAGCUGUUUGGCUUCUGCGUGAGCAAGUAGACAGAACAGUGGUGUUGUUCAGCGAGAGAGACCCUGGAAGAGGACCAGGCCUGGGAGAGAAGAUCAUGAGCUCAGUCCUGGACAUGCUGAACGCAAGGUACCUUCAAGGCAUUCAAAAGAUGGUAAGUAGACAGUUGAUAUAUGGGUCUGGAGUUAAGGGCAAGAUCAAGACUGGAGAUAAAACCAUGAGUCAUCUGAGUAUAUAUGCAACUUGAAACCACAGGGGUGGAUGAGAUCACUGGGUAGAGAAAUUAGAGUAAGAAGAGAGGGCCUAGGACCUCCAACAGCUAAUGGCUGGGUAAAAGAAAAAGAACCUACAAAGGAGGACAAGGAACACUAGGAAAAUAAACAGAGAGAAUUGUGCCCAGAAAUCAGGGAAAGGGAAGAAACAGUAGGCAAUAGUACCAGUGAUGCUCAGAUGACAACUAAGAUGAAGACUAAAGAAUGUCUGUUUAGGAAUGUGGAGGUAACCAUGGUGAGAGGUAAUUUGGUGAAGAAGGAGAGGAGAAGUUGGGAGUUUAGCAAUGUGGAGGUAACCAUGGUGAGAGGUAAUUUGGUGAAGAAGCAGAGGAGAAGUUGGGACUAGGCCACCACUGACAUUGGGGGAAGAGAGUGUUUAAUCUCCAACCUUCACUUAGUAUUAUUUUCAAUAUCCUUCCCUCCCAGUUAUAGCCCAAACACGUUAUUUUCCCUCCCUAUUCACUGCCAAAUGAAUCAGAAGUUCACUCUCCUUUUUUUUUUUUACCUCCCACUUACUCUUCCUGCAACUCUAAUUUGAAUUAUGGCCUACGAAUAUUUUUACUAAAUAUUACAAUUUAUCUAUUUUUUAUUUGUUUCAACACACAGAAGAGUUGCAAAAAUUUACCUGCUCUUAACAAGAAACAUAUCAUCUCUGAUUUGUCACUAAAGGAGAUCUCAAGAAUAUGAGGCUGUAGGUCCUGAUCUUAUUUCUCUCACUGGCCAAUUAACUUUGCAGAAUGGGCAAUCAUGGGACUAUUUACUGACUAGACCAGAGUAAUGUAAAGGCAAUGUAAAGUUAAAGAUCUCACAAGUCCUUUACUUAUGUGAGAAGUCUGCCUAAGUGGGAAAACAAUUUACUUUUCUAGUGCAAAUCACUCUCUGCUCGACAGCAAAUUUAGAAUCUGGAAUUCAGAGCCGGUUAAAUCAGGACACAAACCUUGGAUUUGUAAAUUUCCACUGGUGCAAACUUGGACAAGAUACUCAAUAUCUCUGAGGCUUAUUUUUUAAUUUAUGAUUUAAAAAGCAUAACAAUACAUACCUUAAAAUAUAGUUGUAAAGUAUUAACUGCUCAGCAUACUUUGUGUUAAACAAUUCCAUUAUAACAGAGUCACUCUAGUGGUGCUCAAGCAACCACAAAGGAGAAUAAGAAACAGUCAUACAAGAAAGCAUGUUUUCUAAAUAAUAUCCUUAAAUCCUGAAUAAUUUGUUUGGGCUUUUCUAUAUUAGCCCCUUUAAAACACUUUUAAAUCUAUUACACUUUCAAAUUCAUUCACCAUGAAUUGUGCCCUCUUCAACCAUUAUUGAACUCAUCCAAAAAGGGGUUUGUUGAAGGUGCUUUUCAAAAUUCAAUACUCAUUUCAGGUAAACGUUUAUUUUUUAAAACAAUUUUUAAUUAAGUAAAAUUAAAUACUCCAAAGUUUUUACUAUUUAAUUUCUGUUUAAAUAAAAAUAAGAAAUCAGGUGGUUAUAAAACAAGAGAGAAAUACAUGAAUGGAACUAGUUGAUUUAAUUUAGCGUUGUGCAAAUAAAACAACCAUAUGAAAAAAACAGCAAGGAAAUCAUGGCCUAACACAGUUCCCUAGGGAAAAGAAGCAGAAUAGACAAUGGAAAUGUAUACCAUUCAUUCAUUUUUUCAUUCAUUAAAUCAGUUCUGAAUACUUAGUAAAAGGCCCAGGGCUAGGAUCAAAACCAAAAUAAAUAGCUUUCGUUGUUGAUUUUGAAUUUCCAUCUUGCCAG
rnacentral:lncRNA from 10 species